GGCGCGGUCGACGCUGUGGGGGGGCAGGUAGAAAGACAGGAUGUCGAUGAGCAUGAGGAAGGAACUGGGGAUGAGCAGAUUGACCACGUAGAGCACCGGACGCCGCUUGAUGACGACCUAAAGAACAAGAAAGAAGGUGAUGAUGUCCCACUCAUCGAUCCCAAACUGGAGGAUUGACGUCUCUCCCAGUAUGUCCACCAGCUCCCACUCUCCGCUGGCUUCCAGGUAACGCUUUGAGUUUCCAGACAUCUCUUUAAAGGAGCCGAAGGUGAAUGUGCAGUUCUGCACGUCAAAAGGAAAACUGAAGAUCUCCAGGUUGCAGGCUGAGACGAGCCGCAGCAUCCUGUCCCAGCGGAUGUGACCCGUGUGGUUGACGUAAACAUAAGGACAAGCUUGGGAGACAUCAUCAUCCACACUGGGACAGUUGGAGGUGGAGGAGUCAGGAUGAAGCAAAAGAAAUAAACAGAAACACAGACAGUAUUUAGAUGAGAGCCAUGGGGAAACAAAAAUAUAAGAUUUGAUGGACAUCACUGUCUGUGCCUGAGGACCUCACAUGUGUAAUCUCUUCAACACAGGGGGCUGGACACAGUGUCCAGAGGAGGACCACAGCCUGGGACUGGUUUAUGUGCCAUCACCUCGGGGAGCACUGACACAGCAGGUCUCAUUUCAGUAUUUCCAGCUUGUUGGAAUGCCAGGUUAUAUCCAGACCUAAUUUAGAUGGGACUGGAGGGCCCUUUGCCAGUCCCAGACCUGUUAGCAGCUCUGAUUCAAACCGGAGGUGUGAUCUCCUCCCAUCCAGGUCUGUGUCAACACCUCUUGGUUGCAGCUAAAUAGGCUAUUGCUCAUAAGCCACCUAGAGGCUAUGGGGUUUAUUGCUCUUUGCUGGGGAGUUGGUGCAAGGCAUGGACGAGUGACACUUUAAAGACACUCAGUCUUUAAUAUCACUUGCACCUAACAACAUGUGCAGGGGAAUAAUCACUAUGUAUUGAGCCAUUUAGCGUGUGGAUACAGGACCCUCAGAGAUUUAUCAAAGAGAAAAAAAAAUUGAACUUACAACUCAUACA